AAGUUGCUCCAGGGCAAAAUUUGUCUCCCUAAUACUUUCCUUCAUCUUUCUCAGAUACACUCUGCAAGGACUCUGUCCUCCAGAAGGGGAGCAUCAAGGAGCAGGAAAUGGAAGCUGACCCACUAACAGGCAGACACCAGGAAUCCGUGACAUUGAAAGAUGUGGUUGUGGAAUUCAGUGAGGAAGAGUGGAGGCAACUGGAUCCUGCUGUAAAGAACCUGUAUAGGAAUGUGAUGCUGGAGAACUAUAGGAACCUGAAUUCAUUGCAUAAAGGUGACUUCUGUGUAUUUACUUAA